UUAGCAUGGAAUAAUGGAAUAGGACGCGCGUUCCCAUUUUGUUGGUUUCUGAGAUCGCCGUAAUGAUUAAUAGGGAUAGUUGGGGGCAUUUGUAUUCCGUCGUCAGAGGUGAAAUUCUUGGAUUGCCGGAAGACAAACUAUUGCGAAAGCAUUUGCCAAGGAUGUUUUCAUUGAUCAAGAACGAAGGAAGGGGGAUCGAAAACGAUCAGAUACCGUUGUAGUCUCUUCUGUAAACUAUGCCAAUUGGGGAUUAGAUCAGGAUUUUUAAUGACUGAUUUAGCACCCGAAGAGAAAUCUUUAAAUGAGGUUCGGGGGGGAGUAUGGUCGCAAGGCUGAAACUUAAAGGAAUUGACGGAAGGGCACCACCAGGUGUGGAGCCUGCGGCUUAAUUUGACUCAACACGGGGAAACUCACCAGGUCCAGACACAAUAAGGAUUGACAGAUUGAUAGCUCUUUCUUGAUCUUGUGGUUGGUGGUGCAUGGCCGUUCUUAGUUGGUGGAGUGAUUUGUCUGGUUAAUUCCGAUAACGAACGAGACCUUAACCUGCUAAAUAGACCAGCCGGCUUUGGCUGGCUGCUGUCUUCUUAGAGGGACUAUCAGCGUUUAGCUGAUGGAAGUUUGAGGCAAUAACAGGUCUGUGAUGCCCUUAGAUGUUCUGGGCCGCACGCGCGCUACACUGACAGAGCCAGCGAGUCUACCACCUUGGCCGGAAGGCCUGGGUAAUCUUGUGAAACUCUGUCGUGAUGGGGAUAGAACAUUGCAAUUAUUGUUCUUCAACGAGGAAUACCUAGUAAGCGUGAGUCAUCAGCUCGCGUUGAUUACGUCCCUGCCCUUUGUACACACCGCCCGUCGCUACUACCCGAUUGGAAUGGCU
rnacentral:rRNA from 1 species